rnacentral:rRNA from 1 species
UACGGAGGGGGCUAGCGUUGUUCGGAAUUACUGGGCGUAAAGGGCGCGUAGGCGGCGCGAUAAGUUGGGCGUGAAAGGCCCGGGCUCAACCCGGGGACUGCGCUUGAUACUGUCGCGCUGUGAGUCCGGGAGAGGAUGGCGGAAUUCCCAGUGUAGAGGUGAAAUUCGUAGAUAUUGGGAAGAACACCGGUGGCGAAGGCGGCCAUCUGGACGGUUUCUGACGCUAAGACGCGAAAGCGUGGGGAGCAAACAGG